rnacentral:rRNA from 1 species
UACGAAGGUGGCAAGCGUUGUUCGGAUUUACUGGGCGUAAAGGGAGCGUAGGUGGUUAGGUAAGCCCUCCGGGAAAUCUUCAGGCUUAACCUGAAAAGGUCGGGGGGGACUGCCUGGCUAGAGGACGGGAGAGGAGCGCGGAAUUCCCGGUGUAGCGGUGAAAUGCGUAGAGAUCAGGAGGAAGGCCGGUGGCGAAGGCGGCGCUCUGGAACGUUUCUGACACUGAGGCUCGAAAGCGUGGGGAGCAAACAGG